rnacentral:tRNA from 1 species
GGAACUGUGCCCGAAUGCCCAGGGACCACUUUGAUAGAGUGACUAAUAGGGGUUAAAAUCCCCUCAGUUCU